UACAGAGGGGGCAAGCGUUGUUCGGAAUUACUGGGCGUAAAGGGCGCGUAUGCGGCCUGCUAAGUCAGACGUGAAAUCCCUCGGCUUAACCGGGGAACUGCGUCUGAUACUGGAUGGCUUGAGUUCGGGAGAGGGAUGCGGAAUUCCAGGUGUAGCGGUGAAAUGCGUAGAUAUCUGGAGGAACACCGGUGGCGAAGGCGGCAUCCUGGACCGACACUGACGCUGAGGAGCGAAAGCCAGGGGAGCAAACGGG
rnacentral:rRNA from 1 species